rnacentral:pre_miRNA from 1 species
GGGGGGUGUGCCGGAUUUUGGGCUGUAUCCCCCAGCACCCAUGGCUCCGGGGCAUGCACCGCUGGAAUCGCGCUCCCGGGGCCUCACAGCCCCCU